GAUGAACGCUGACAGAAUGCUUAACACAUGCAAGUCUACUUGAAUUUGGGUUUUUUAACUUAGAUUUGGGUGGCGGACGGGUGAGUAACGCGUAAAGAACUUGCCUCACAGCUAGGGACAACAUUUGGAAACGAAUGCUAAUACCUGAUAUUAUGAUUAUAAGGCAUCUUAGAAUUAUGAAAGCUAUAUGCGCUGUGAGAGAGCUUUGCGUCCCAUUAGCUAAUUGGAGAGGUAACGGCUCACCAAGGCGAUGAUGGGUAGCCGGCCUGAGAGGGUGAACGGCCACAAGGGGACUGAGACACGGCCCUUACUCCUACGGGAGGCAGCAGUGGGGAAUAUUGGACAAUGGACCAAGAGUCUGAUCCAGCAAUUCUGUGUGCACGAUGACGUUUUUCGGAAUGUAAAGUGCUCUCAGUUGGGAAGAAAAAAAUGACGGUACCAACAGAAGAAGUGACGGCUAAAUACGUG
rnacentral:rRNA from 1 species